ACGAACGCUGGCGGCGUGCCUAAUACAUGCAAGUCGAACGAGCUCUCCCAAAUUGAUUUUAUGCUUGCGUAAAUGAUUUUUGGAUUCGGAGCGAGUGGCGAACUGGUGAGUAACACGUGGGUAACCUGCCCUGAAGCGGGGGAUAACAUUUGGAAACAAGUGCUAAUACCGCAUAAUUAGUUGGAACCGCAUGGUUCCAACUUGAAAGAUGGCUCUGCUAUCACUUUGGGAUGGACCCGCGCCGUAUUAGUUAGUUGGUGAGAUAAAAGCCCACCAAGACGAUGAUACGUAGCCGACCUGAGAGGGUAGUCGGCCACAUUGGGACUGAGACACGGCCCAGACUCCUACGGGAGGCAGCAGUAGGGAAUCUUCCACAAUGGACGAAAGUCUGAUGGAGCAACGCCGCGUGAGUGAUGAAGGUUUUCGGAUCGUAAAACUCUGUUGUUAAAGAAGAACAAGUGUUAGAGUAACUGUUAACACUUUGACGGUAUUUAACCAGAAAGCCACGGCUAACUACGUGCCAGCAGCCGCGGUAAUACGUAGGUGGCAAGCGUUGUCCGGAUUUAUUGGGCGUAAAGCGAGCGCAGGCGGUUUUGUAAGUCUGCUGUGAAAGCCCUUCAGCUCAACUGAGGAAGUGCAGUGGAAACUACAAAACUUGAGUACAGAAGAGGAAAGUGGAACUCCAUGUGUAGCGGUGAAAUGCGUAGAUAUAUGGAAGAACCACCAGUGGCGAAGGCGGCUUUCUGGUCUGUUACUGACGCUGAGGCUCGAAAGCAUGGGUAGCGAACAGGAUUAGAUACCCUGGUAGUCCAUGCCGUAAACGAUGAAUACUAGGUGUUGGAGGGUUUCCGCCCUUCAGUGCCGCAGCUAACGCAUUAAGUAUUCCGCCUGGGGAGUACGACCGCAAGGUUGAAACUCAAAGGAAUUGACGGGGGCCCGCACAAGUGGUGGAGCAUGUGGUUUAAUUCGAUGCUACGCGAAGAACCUUACCAGCUCUUGACAUCUUCUGCCAACCCAAGAGAUUGGGCGUUCCCUUCGGGGACAGAAUGACAGGUGGUGCAUGGUUGUCGUCAGCUCGUGUCGUGAGAUGUUGGGUUAAGUCCCGCAACGAGCGCAACCCUUAUUAUUAGUUGCCAGCAUUUAGUUGGGCACUCUAGUGAGACUGCCGGUGAUAAACCGGAGGAAGGUGGGGACGACGUCAAAUCAUCAUGCCCCUUAUGAGCUGGGCUACACACGUGCUACAAUGGAUGGUACAACGAGUCGCGAAACCGCGAGGUCAAGCUAAUCUCUUAAAGCCAUUCUCAGUUCGGAUUGCAGGCUGCAACUCGCCUGCAUGAAGUUGGAAUCACUAGUAAUCGUGGAUCAGCAUGCCACGGUGAAUACGUUCCCGGGCCUUGUACACACC
rnacentral:rRNA from 1 species